rnacentral:lncRNA from 1 species
GCUUAAAAAUCCCACCUUUGCGCUAAAUAUAUCCUUAGUUGUCCCCUUUGAGCCUAAUCCUUUUUAUUGGUAAACACAUUACAAGCCUUAUCCUUUUUGAAAAAGUAACCCUCUUUUGAACCCCUCCCUCCUUGAACUUGAGGUUGUGAAAGUUGAGGCUAAAAACCUAAGUUGGAGUUGUUAUGGGAAAUUCAUUGAAGGGAUGCUUACCAUAUGAAGGCGCAAUGUAAAAAAAGAAAGAAAAAAAAAGAAGAGAGAAAUUAAAGGAUGGAUGGAAAGUCUUAAAGAAAGAAUAAGCUUUGAAAUAGAAAGAAAGAAAAUUCCCUCCUUGAACUUGAGGUUGUGAAAGUUGACACUAAAAGCCUAAUCCCACCUUUGCAUUAAAUAUAUCCUUAGUUGUCUCCCUUGAGUCUCAUCAUUUUUAUUGGCAACCACAUAACAAGCCUUAUCCUAUUUUUAUUGAAAUAGAAAGAAAGAAAAUUCCCUCCUUGAACUUGAGGUUGUGAAAGUUGACACUAAAAGCCUAAGUUGGUGUUGUUAUGGAAAAUUCAUUGAAGGGAUGCUUACCACAUGAGGGCUUGAUGUAAAAAAAAGAAGAGAGAAAUUGAAGGAUGGAUGGAAGUCUUAAAGAAAGAAAAAGCUUUGGAAAAGAAAGAAAGAAAAUGAAUAAAUGAGACUUGAAUCCUCCAAAAGUUGAAAAUGGUUGCAUGUGGGGGAAUUUAGAGUGGAAAUAAGAAAAGAAAAAUGAAAAAUAGUGUGAAAUGUGCAUGGGUUUAAAAAGUGGAGAAAGUUGGAAAUGAGGAGUUGUUGUGUAGUGAUCGAGGAGGGUGUAGUCACUUAUACCUAUAUAGUAUCCUUACCUUCCCUAAGCCUACAUUACAAGCUUGACAAAGUCCUUUGAGAUUUCUAACCAAAUGGAGUUGAGUCAAGGUUGAUUGAAAAUAUGGGCAAGCCUAUGGUGUGACAUUUGUGUGCAUGAGAUGAUUCUUUGUGAGUGUGAGUGU